rnacentral:rRNA from 1 species
AUUGAACGCUGGCGGCAGGCCUAACACAUGCAAGUCGAACGGUAACAGGAAGAAGCUUGCUUCUUUGCUGACGAGUGGCGGACGGGUGAGUAAUGUCUGGGAAACUGCCUGAUGGAGGGGGAUAACUACUGGAAACGGUAGCUAAUACCGCAUAACGUCGCAAGACCAAAGAGGGGGACCUUCGGGCCUCUUGCCAUCGGAUGUGCCCAGAUGGGAUUAGCUAGUAGGUGGGGUAACGGCUCACCUAGGCGACGAUCCCUAGCUGGUCUGAGAGGAUGACAGCCACACUGGAACUGAGACACGGUCCAGACUCCUACGGGAGGCAGCAGUGGGGAAUAUUGCACAAUGGGCGCAAGCCUGAUGCAGCCAUGCCGCGUGUAUGAAGAAGGCCUUCGGGUUGUAAAGUACUUUCAGCGGGGAGGAAGGGAGUAAAGUUAAUACCUUUACUCAUUGACGUUACCCGCAGAAGAAGCACCGGCUAACUCCGUG